AUGGAUUUUUGCAAACAGGUCGUGGAAGCGGAGGAUCGAUUGUGCAUCUUGCAGGGAAUCUUGAUAAGACUCAUUUCAAGUGGAGGUUCUUACAAGAAGAAGAAGAUUUUAGGGAUUUCUUUCUGUUUGUGUAGUGUAACCUUGUAUUCAAACAUUCAGCAAAAUUGUUAUAAGAAUUCUCAAUUUCAAUUUUGGAAUUGA